GUUUCAGACUUUACCAAAGACUCGUUCGCUUUCGAUGAUGCCGUCGGAAACAGAUACGGGUCCAAGAAGAUUAAAUUAACGGCACGAGAUCAGGGUCCGCUUCUGUUGGAGCUCACGGAUUGUUUGUCUUAUGGAGUGAGCAGAAACGACAAGUUCGGCAAGGAAAAUUACUCCAUCUCCCUAGCCCCGAGGGACAAGGAGGAGUUUGUAUCAGCCCUGGAACUGGUGGAAAAGGAAUCUGCCAACCACAUCGACAAGUCGGGUGAAAACAUUAUGAAAUGUCUUUAUCGGAAAGGCAGCACUCCGAUCCUAUACGCAAAGAUUGACAAAGAAACAGAGAUCUAUCCUCCGAAAGGGGACGAACCCG
rnacentral:lncRNA from 1 species